rnacentral:tRNA from 3 species
GGGCGCGUAGCUCACUUGGUUAGAGCGCAGCAUUGACAUUGCUGAGGUAAGAGGUUCGAUCCCUCUCGCGCCCA